rnacentral:lncRNA from 1 species
CAGCAUUGCUGACUGCAUUAAAGACUUCCUUGAUGAAGUAAAACAAUCAACUCUAAAUGCCUGUCAGUCCAAGCUGUGGAAGGAAUGUGAAUGAAUUUUCCCUACAUAAACUUCCAGAAGUGAAGGAGAUGGUGGAUGUUUGCAAAAUAUCUAGAUGAUGAUUUGGCAGACAUAAUGGAUGAAGAUAUAGAGUAACUGCUCCAAUCACACAAGGUGUUCGUUGAAGAGAAAUUGGACGAACUAAUCAGAUCUAGUGAGGAAGGAGACAAAGAUGAAAAGAGUAAAAUGAUAACUUCUAAGUUAAACAAAGGACUGGUAAUGGCAAAUGAUCUCCACAGAAUUUUUCCUUGAAAUUGAUCCUAAUGUGGAGAGGAGUUUAAUAUUAAAACAGGAUUUGAAAGAUUUGCCAACUUUCUAUAAACAGGUACAAAAAGAGUUUCAGAAGAAAAUGAAGCCAACAUCUCAAUCAUCUAAUAGUGCCCUCACCCAUCCACCAGUGCCAAUGUCUAGACAUCUGUUUCAAUCAAAUUACUUUAAUUUUUAUGGAUGUAAAUCAUUU